UAAUUAUAAACACAGGGGUCAAUUUGGUGAUUAUGACCAAUUAGAGGCAAAUAGGGUCAAUGAUUGAUCAAAACUCCAAAAAAGAAUAUCUGCAAAAUCGUACACCAACUCACACUCUCGCGCACUAGCAAGUCAAAUUUGACAACUCUGCCAAAACAUCUCAUCCGAUCAGGCAAUACUGCAAAGAUCGGAGAUUUAUCUUAGCUUCUGCUGAAUUUGGAGAAUGUCGGAAUUGGGUGAAUGGCACUGUGAAAAGAGACCUUUCCCUAAGAAUGAGUCUUUUACUAAAGUACAUGAGACUGUGUCUGAAACGGGAAGCCUCUCUAUCAUUGUUCUCGGUGCUUCUGGCGAUCUUGCUAAGAAGAAGACCUUCCCCGCACUUUUCAACCUUUAUCGGCAGGGAUUUUUGCCAUCAAACGAGGUUCACAUUUUUGGAUAUGCAAGGACCAAGAUAUCUGACGAGGAACUGCGAGAUCGGAUCCGAGGGUAAGGUUUCUGCAUGUUUCAGUUUGAGUUUGAUCCAAUAGUGGGAGUCAUUGUGCGUGCUAAACUUUCCUCGGAAAUGUAGAUCAAAUAUGUUAGUGGGGCUUACGAUGCUCCAGAAGGAUUUCAAGCCUUAGAUAAGGCAAUAUCUGAGUACGAAAUAUCGAUAAACAGUGCGGAAGGGUCAUCGCGCAGGCUAUUCUACCUUGCGCUGCCUCCAUCUGUGUAUCCACAAGUCUGCAAAAUGAUCAAGAAUUAUUCCAUGAAUAGAUCUGAUCUUGUUGGAUGGACUCGUGUUGUUGUUGAGAAGCCUUUUGGCAAGGAUUUGGCUUCAGCAGAGGAACUGAGCUCCCAGAUAGGAGAAUUAUUUGAAGAACCACAGAUUUACCGUAUAGAUCAUUAUUUGGGGAAGGAAUUGGUCCAGAACUUGUUGGUACUUCGGUUUGCGAAUCGCUUCUUUUUACCUCUCUGGAAUCGUGAUAACGUUGAUAAUGUACAGAUUGUGUUUAGAGAAGAUUUUGGAACUGAGGGACGUGGUGGGUAUUUCGACCAGUAUGGAAUCAUCCGUGACAUAAUCCAGAAUCACCUAUUGCAGGUUCUUUGUCUUGUCGCCAUGGAGAAGCCUGUUUCUCUGACGCCUGAGCAUAUUCGAGAUGAAAAAGUCAAGGUUCUUCAAUCAGUCGUUCCAAUCAAAGAUGAAGAGGUGGUGCUCGGACAAUAUGAAGGCUACAAGGAUGAUCCAACGGUCCCAGACAACUCAAACACUCCCACUUUUGCAUCAGUGAUUCUACAUAUACACAAUGAAAGAUGGGAAGGUGUACCCUUUAUACUUAAGGCAGGGAAAGCUUUAGGUUCAAGGAAAGCAGAUAUACGGGUUCAAUUGAAGAAUGUUCCUGGUGAUAUCUUUAAAUGUCAAAAUCAAGGAAGGAACGAAAUUGUAAUUCGUCUGCAACCUUCAGAGGCCAUUUACAUGAAACUAACUGUGAAGCAGCCUGGAUUGGAAAUGUCCACUGCUCAGAGUGAACUAGACUUGUCGUACAGGCAACGUUAUCAAGGGGUUGUCAUUCCCGAGGCUUAUGAACGUCUAAUUCUCGACACAAUCAAAGGGGAUCAGCAGCAUUUUGUCCGAAGAGACGAGUUGAAGGCUGCAUGGGAGAUUUUCACACCACUUCUGCACCGAAUAGAUAACGGAGAAGUUAAGUCACUGCCCUACAAGCCUGGUAGCAGAGGCCCUGCCGAAGCAGAUGAACUGUUGGAGAAGGCAGGGUAUGUGCAGACACAUGGCUAUUUAUGGAUCCCUCCAACCUUAGCUUAAACUUUUCCCACACUCAACUUAAUUGUACCUUGUCUACAGCGUGCAUUUUUUCGUGUUUUUUUACCUUGUGUUUUGUGGCGAAGGCAGGUUUGAAGUUUGAACAUAUUUGAGAUUGAGAAAUAUGUAAUAAACAUUUGUACUGAAUCUCCUGUGUAAUAACUAAUAACUUUUGUUUCUUGUUGUUGACAAAUCCAAAUUUGAA